UUCCUACGGGGCGCAGCAGUAGGGAAUAUUGCUCAAUGGGGGAAACCCUGAAGCAGCAACGCCGCGUGGAGGAUGAAGGUUUUAGGAUUGUAAACUCCUUUUGUUAGAGAAGAUUAUGACGGUAUCUAACGAAUAAGCACCGGCUAACUCCGUGCCAGCAGCCGCGGUAAUACGGAGGGUGCAAGCGUUACCCGGAAUUAUUGGGUGUAAAGGGUGCGUAGACGGAAGAACAAGUUGGUUGUGAAAUCCCUCGGCUCAACUGAGGAACUGCAACCAAAACUAUUCUCCUUGAGUGUCGGAGAGGA
rnacentral:rRNA from 1 species